rnacentral:tRNA from 5 species
GGCGCUUUAGCUCAUCUGGAUAGAGCAACUGCCUUCUAAGCAGUAGGUAGGCGGUUCGAGUCCGCCAUGCGUCA